rnacentral:rRNA from 1 species
UACGUAGGGUGCGAGCGUUGUCCGGAAUUACUGGGCGUAAAGAGCUCGUAGGUGGUUUGUCGCGUUGUCCGUGAAAACUCACAACUCAAUUGUGGGCGUGCGGGCGAUACGGGCAGACUGGAGUACUGCAGGGGAGACUGGAAUUCCUGGUGUAGCGGUGGAAUGCGCAGAUAUCAGGAGGAACACCGGUGGCGAAGGCGUUCAUCUGGCCCGAUACUGACGCUGAGGCGCGAAAGCUAGGGGAGCAAACGGG